UGUCCACAAAGGGGAGUGAAGUAACACUGGUGUUCUGUAGAAGGAGAAAUUGCAUGUGUUACAAAAGCCUUAGGCAAGAAAACGUCUCCAGGGGUCAUUUCUUCCAGCCUCCCUUCCCAAUUCCCCAACAAGAAUGAGCCUAACCCCAAUCUGGACCUAAACCUAUUCUUAAAGUUCUUGGCAAGAAAUGCAGAUUCCAGAGCAGCAGAGUCAACAAACACAUGGGCUCUGGGUUUGAGCACAGGUAAUGAUCAAUCAGCAGAGGCCUAAUCAAUCCCAGUGAAAGCGGCCAAAUGUUAUACCAAUGUACGCUGGCUUCGCACUGAGCAUAAAAAGCAGUCUGCAGAAGAACACUCAAUCUGUAAAAUGGAGGUAAUGACCCCCUCAACACUGUUGAAAGAAGCAAACAAACACUGCUAUAACACACACCGGGAGGGCAGGGAUUGCAUUCCGAAUAUCUCCUUAUCCCCACCUUCAACGUCGAACACAGUUCUGGAGGGCAAGACAGACAAUAAACAAGUAAACAAACAGAUGUGUAAUUAGAAAUGGUGGGGAAGGAACGCCUCUCUAAGGAGGUGGCAUUCAGCAAAUGAAUGAUUGAAAGGAUCUAAGAAAUUAACAGAGAAAAAGUAGCUGUGCUUCUGGUGCUGAAAUAGAAAUGUGUCUUCAGUAUGAUUCUGGAUGUGCUUUGUAGCAUCUUGUAGUUGUCGGGGAGAUCGUAAUGUAAUAUCCUAAAUUAACAGCUUCCCUCCCUAGGACUCUCUCCCAGGUUCUCUUCCUGGCAUAGCCUAAGCUGUGAUCCUGGAGCUCAGCUAGCUCCUCGAGUCCCAGAAACCAGCUGAGGCAAUGCUGAGAUGCAGAAAAGCCAGAUGUCCUCCAGCCUACUGCUUGAGAUGACUGAGGACCAAAGGGCCUCUGUUUCCCCUGCCGGCAGUUACGACAAAUACAACACACAGCAUUUUCCUGAGAGUCCUCUGAUCCUUGCCAGCUAAGCAGAAAGGACAGGGAAGCUCCACUGGCAUCAAGGUUUUACCCUGUGUUAGCCAAAUGAAUAGGGCAUUCUGAAAAGAACUCCAGAUUACUAGAGAGAGCGCCACACUAUUGUCUUAAAGCCCAGUGAAAUCACAUUUUAAACUUUCCCUUGGCUGAAAUGUUACCAAAAUCCAAAUUAAAAUAUGUGAAUACUUGAUUGUUAUAUCACACUUAUAAUCUAUAAUUUUAAAUAUUGUGAAAAACAUAAAUAAUU
rnacentral:lncRNA from 10 species